AUAUUGGACAAUGGGGGCAACCCUGAUCCAGCCAUGCCGCGUGAGUGAUGAAGGCCUNNNGGUUGNACAGCUCUUUCAGUGGGNAAGNUAAUGACGGUACCCACACAAGAAGCCCCGGCUAACUUCGUGCCAGCAGCCGCGGUAAUACGAAGGGGGCUAGCGUUGUUCGGAUUUACUGGGCGUAGAGCGCACGUAGGCGGAUUGGUCAGUUAGGGGUGAAAUCCCGGAGCUCAACUCCGGAACUGCCUUUAAUACUGCCAGUCUAGAGUCCGAGAGAGGUGGGUGGAACUCCUAGUGUAGAGGUGGAAUUCGUAGAUAUUAGGAAGAACACCAGUGGCGAAGGCGGCUCACUGGCUCGGUACUGACGCUGAGGUGCGAAAGCGUGGGGAGCAAACA
rnacentral:rRNA from 1 species